rnacentral:rRNA from 1 species
AGAGUUUGAUCCUGGCUCAGAAUCAACGCUGGCGGCGUGCCUAACACAUGCAAGUCGAACGAGAAAGUCCGCAAGGAUGAGUAAAGUGGCGACCGGGUGAGUAACACGUAGCUAACCUACCCUCGAGUGGGGGAUAACCUGGGGAAACCUGGGCUAAUACCGCAUAAGAUCCUGACGGCGUAGGUCGUUGGGAGCAAAGG